rnacentral:rRNA from 1 species
UACGAAGGGGGCUAGCGUUGCUCGGAAUGACUGGGCGUAAAGGGCGCGUAGGCGGAUGGCACAGUCAGAUGUGAAAUUCCCGGGCUUAACCUGGGGGCUGCAUUUGAUACGUGUUGUCUAGAAUGAGGAAGAGGGUUGUGGAAUUCCCAGUGUAGAGGUGAAAUUCGUAGAUAUUGGGAAGAACACCGGUGGCGAAGGCGGCAACCUGGUCCUUGACUGACGCUGAGGCGCGAAAGCGUGGGGAGCAAACAGG